CGACUACCUUGGUCACGUCCCAGGACUUACCCUCUCCAUAAAACUAAGAGGGGGAAUGUGUCUUUGGCACAAUUUCAGCUGUUUUAUAUAUUCAUUCCUGCUUCGCUUUGCCCUGGCUUGUUAGUUAUUAUGUGACCUUAAGCUUGAUUUUAACUUGAGAAAGCUCAGAUCUGGAGGCUCUUUCGAAGUCUGUUUCAGGAGACGGGACUAACUAGUAACAGAAUGUACACUGGCAGGAGAUUCGGAUCCCAGCUCUGCCAAAUCAGAGUCUGACAAGGACGACCCUCCUCUCAGGUUCCUCAACUGUAAAGUGAGCUUCAACAUGCCUUCCGCAGGGAGUGUUACGGGACGGUUACAACUUGAAUAUAUUUGAAGCCAUUGGCACAUAAUAAUUCUCUACACCCAUCGCGGGGCUCGAACUCACGACCCUGAGAUCAAGAGUUGCACGCUCUUCAGACUGAUGCGGCCAGGCGCCCCUCUCCUUCUCCUAUUUAAGACAAUAUGCCAAGUGGGACCAGGAUAUGAAACCAUAUGAGUCAUGCCCUUGGGGAUCCCAGUGAAGGAGACAGUUUUGAUGCGCAUGAUUUCCAAAUGGAUUAGGACAGCUGGAUUCAGGGAGGAGGGAAUGAAAAAUCGAUGUCGAUGACACAGAGGUCAGAAACAUUUGGCUGGAGGCGCUAGUAACCAAGUGCAAAAGAAGGUUUCCCAAAGCAUGGCCUAUGGGCUACUCACAUUAGUACCUGAAGAAGCUAAACGCAAUUCAGUUUCCAGCUCCUUCUCUAAUUUUACUAAGAAUUUGAGAGACAGACUCCAGAAGCAGUGAUUUUGUUGACCAAGAGCACCCAACAGAAUUGGCAACGAGAAGAGCGUGGCGCAGUACCCGGGAAGCAUUAAAUGCUAGAAAGCUCCGUGGGUGAUGCUGACAGAUGACACUGUUUGUUCUAGCUUCUCCCGUGUGUUGUCCUCGGGCCAGCUUCCCUUGCGGUUGUAAGAUGGCUGCCAACAGCAGUGGGGGACAACAUGCUGCCUUGUUUGUGCCCAGAGGAGGGUGAGAAGGGAAGAAAGUGUGAAUAGAAGAGUAUUUUUCCAGUUGGACAACCUCCUAGAUCACCUCUGAAGUGACCAAUAAUCCCGAGUUGCUUGGGAGUGAGGAGUGUCCUGGGAUGUGGGCUUGCAGCACCAAAACCAAGCAAAUCUGGAGCAAACACGGAGGAUCCUUCUCCGCAUCUUCAAGUCCCUGACUUACUCAUCUUCAAGUAACUGAGAUCUGCCUUUGUUUUAUUUCUCAGAAAGGGAUAUUUUUCGAUGUUCAAAAAAUUUGCAGAAGCAAGCUGGGAAAGAUUGGAGGGGAAAGCCCAGCAUUUUUGCAUGAGAAGAGCAAGUUUAAGUCUCUAGUGAAAUAGUCGGAAACAUCUCUGCCAACUGUGAACAAGGGAGCACGGAUCACAGGGGAGAAAAAUCCGGGAGCAACCCGGGAAGUGAAGAAUUCCAGAUGCUGGACGCCACCUGGUGGGGACCUGGAGGUUUUUGGGGAAAAAAAAUAAAAUAAAAUAAAUGCCAGGAUAUCAGAACUGAGGGAUGGCUUAAAAUCAUUAUUAUGCCUUUUAUUCAUUCUCACGAUAAGCACCCAUCGAGGACUUGCUGUGCACUGAGAACGUUAGGAAGCUCUAAGUUAUAGGAAUUAUUUGUAGUUGAGUCUACACAGCUAAUAACCAAGAAUUCUAAGCUUGCUUUCCUGUUACAGGAUUAAUGUCUAGAUUAAGCCUCCAUUCUGGGGACGCCUGGGGGGCUCAGUGGUUGAGCAUCUGCCUGGGGCUCAGGUGGUGAUCCCCGGGUCCUGGGAUCGAGUCCCCCAUGGGCUCCCCGCAGGGAGCCCGCUUCUCCCUCUGCCUGUGUCUCUGCCUCUCUCUGUGUGUCUCUCGGGAGUAAACAAAUAAAAUCUUUAAAAACCCCACAAACCCUCCACUUUGUUCGGUGAUGAAGAGUCAUCUCAGCCCCUUGAGCGCCCCUACACUCAUGCCUGGUUAGGCCUGAGGGCUGGGCGUUAGCUGGUGACAGGUGUCCCCGGGCAGGGCUCUGUGCUGACCUGCCCUGGUUUCUGUCUGCCCUUUGGCCUCGGCCCACAGGUCAUCGCUGAAUCUGCUCUCGUUCCCCUCUCAGGGUUUCUCCACGUCUGCCUCUGUCUCAGCCAGUCCAUUGCCUUCCCAGACCUUCUGCUGCUUCUAGAAGGCUCUCGACUGCGCUGUGUGAUUAGGCACAUGGAACCUUCACUUCCGUGCCGGCGUCUUGAUGCUUCCCUGGGUUUUACCUAGGAACUGAGUCACGGGUCCCUUUGACCUCAGAGUCUCCAGAUGUCCCUUGGGCUUCUUCUGCCCCAUGUUCUAGAAGCACGGAAGGGCUGCUUAUGUUCAAAUAUCCCUGUGAGGCUAAAUCACGGUCCGCAUGUUGGACAGCAAAGGCAGGUAGGACCAACGGGGUAAACUGAGGCCAGGUGGUAAAAGAUCUUAUCUGUUAUGCUAGAGAGUUUGUGUAAGUGCAUUGCAAUCGGAAGACUAUUUCAGUCUCUAGCAUCUCUCAUAGCCGUUUUCUGAUGUUUUGGUCCGAAAUUCAGGCAGUUUUAAACAGAAAGCUUUAAAAUAUAUAUUACGGAGUUUAUCGUCGCCCGGUAUUAAAUCAUACCUUGAGAUAUAGUUUAGAUACGUCUCUUAUCGCCUACGUGCUCCAUAAAUAUCGUCUCACUCUCCGUGACUUGCUUUUCUGUUUUCCUUCCCCAGCAUUUUCUCUCUCUCUCUCGUUUAACCUGCAGAGAUGGCCCAACUCCAAACUUUAUUCCAAACUCGAACUUGAAAUCUGUCUCCUCACCCUUUUCUCCUUUCUCUUAUUUUUAUUUUUUGUACGUAUUUCCGUGUGUGUGUGUGUGUGUGUGUGGCUUGACUCUGUAAUGUUCAGCUCUACAUGUGUCUAGCUUCGGGUGUCCACCAGCAGUCAGAGCACUGCGGUCACCGCAGAGACUCCAGGUGUGGCUCUUUUAAAACCAUAUCCACGGACACCCCCGCCCUUACCCACCCCGCCUGGCCCCUGACAAUCAUUAAAGUUUGUCAUUUCAAACGUUACCUAAAUAGAUCCAUACGGUAGGGAAACUUUUUUUUUUAAUGCAUUUA